GGCAGCGCAGCGUGAUUUAGGGCUGUGAGCAUGUUGACAGGUCAGUUUUGCAACCAUGGUUGGUGCUGUUAACCCGUGUUUGUUUGUAGUUGGUACAAUGUGUCGGUGAUUCAAGGUAGGAUCCUCGAGUUUUAGGGAGGCAUAUCGUAAUAUGCUUGUACUGGGUGCCUGGUACAUGACUAAUUUGUGGCUUCCUAGGGUGGUAAUUUUACUUGCCUGAGAAAGAAGAGAGCUUCAGUAAAGCCUAGUUUUUGUGUUCAGCUAAGUUUCUGCUCCGGAUACUUUCCAAGAGAAUAGCUGGAGCAUGGAUUGUUCUUGACGUGUAACUUGAAGGAAAUCCAUGUGGCGAUGUUCUGAUCAAUCUGUGCGCAUGUUGUUGUCAUGAAAUUCGCGGUAGAUUUCUCGUUUCUUUUGGCUGUAGUCCGGGUCCGGGACAAUGUAGCUGGAUUCUUGAUGGAACUCCCAACCUGAUAUGAUGAUAUCAAGCGACGUGCCUGGCCGGACGGAGGCCGCCGCCUGGAGCCGAAGGGGAGAGGCGGCGAUGACUCCGAUUGGAGGACGUCACGCUCGGCACACUAGCUUGUGUCCCAGACACACUUAACUGUCACGGCGAAUCGGCGCAGCCGAAAGGGGAGGGGGCACGCCGGUGACUCGGGCCACAUGCGCGUGCCUCCUACGUACCUUUCCCUUUCGCCAACGGUGGGUAGGACUUGGGAGCGAGGGAGGGAGAGAUCGGGGCGGCCUCAAUUAUGCGCAGAUCGAUCAGCCCGACCGCCAAGAAAGUGAGCUUGGUUUGCUGUUAGCUAGACUCGAGCCGGAGCCUGAUGCGACUGGCGAUGUAAAUGCAUGUGGUGGCACUUCGGGACACUGCUCCUGCCCGGUUCCUUUUCACCAACAGAUUCGGGCAGAUGCCAGCGCCACCAUCUUAUUUAUAAGCUACAGUGGCCAAGAAGCACCACCAUCUUAUUUAUAACCUACAGUGCCAAGAAGAGUGGCGACGCCGCUUCCGAACUACAGUACUCGAGCCCACGUAUGCACGCACCUUUCCAACUCGAGCUCACGACCAAAUGCCGCGCGCGCCGUCGAGUUAUUCUGGCGUUCCUUCCACAACGGCAUGCUUGAUCUUCCCUGUUCAUCGCGACGCGUCGCAUUAUUGCCGCUUGAUUGAUUGGUUGCACCCGGUCUGCCGGCUACAACCACCCUAUCAAUCAAAUUAAGAAAAAGAAUUAAGCUGCUGCUUGCAUUAUUAUUAAGAAAAUCAAGCUAGCAAGCACUCAAUCCCACCCCUAAGAAAAGCUUAAAGCUCAUGCAUUAUGCCAUAGUCUAUGCUACAUGUGGUGACCUCGUGGCUGAUCUGCGAAUUAGUGCGAUAUGAUGAUGCUGAUAUCCGACGAAUCAUCGCGCUCAGAAUCAACACGUACGGGGAGAAACAUUGUUUAUUAGCACCCCGUAUCGAUCCGUGUCCACUAGCAUUCACUUCUCUAGUCGCAGGUUUGGCGUCCUUGUCUUGUAACAACUAACAACGACUAGCUCGUCGACGAGUCGUUUGGUUCUGGCCAACGGAGCCGAAUAUCUUGAGCUCCAAUCGCUUCAGGCGUAGAGUAGACGCCGCGACCUUUGACAUCGUCGGCAUUUUCGCAAUCUUGAGAGUGAAAUGAAUGCUAAGUGUAUACCAGAGCUGAUGUUAACGUUCUUACCAAUCAGGAAAAUAAAAGGUUUUGCGAUCUUACAACAUUGUCAUUUUUCCAAUCUUGAGAGUGAAAUGAAUGCUAUGUUGUACUCAGGUAUAUCAGAGCCAAUCUUAACGUUCUUAACAAUCACAUGCAGCUAGCUAAGCGAUGCCGCAGUGUCGCCUACCGCUGGUUCCUGUCCCCGACACCACGAUAGCCUUGUGGUGAGGACCUCUUUUGCACAAGCUUUCAUCGAUUCAUGAGAUGAGAUCUCAGUUCAGUACUCUGGCGACGAAGUAGUACCUAAACUAUAAAGAUACAGUAAACCACAUACCCAAAGCAACUGACCCGGAUGCUGCACGCGCGGUGGGCAUGCAGAUCGCUGGAUCGCGAUCCGCCCACUACCCCACCUGCAUGCGCCCAUGCAUGAGGGCACACCCACGCAGACCCAUCCACGUCCUAAACGAAGGCUGGUCAUAAUGAUGAUAUCAUAAACGGUAUCGUAUAAGCUAUUUUUUUAAUGCUAUAUCACAUAAUUAAAUGAUAAAGAAAGGAUGUGGUAUCAGACUAGCCAUAGUGGGAGUAACUUCAAUAGUAACAUCGAGUCCAACUCAGCAAAUUUGCUUAUGUGGCAAUGAGUUAAUAAGGAGAGAGAUAGUAGUAGUAACUUAGCUAGUUACUGUAACAUCACAUGUCCCAAUGCAAUAUGAGUCUAUAACCUAAUAAAUGAAGCUAUGCAUGUUACCACACACUAUGAAGGUAGUAACAUGGUCUAGGAAUACGUGUAUGUUACUAGUAUAUAUUACUCUCCAUUGUGGCUAUUCUCAUAUCAUGAUAUUGUAUCAUUAUGAUGUUGUACUACUUUGUGUCAUGCAUAAUAAUUAAUAAGGCAACCUAAGAUACUAACUUAUGAUACUAUGCAUCACAGUGCAUGCCAUUUUUACUCGCAAAGGAUUCGCCAUGCCCUCGCUCUCGCCCUCUCCCGCUCCGGGGUCGGCGACCACCAUACCGGCGCUGCGCACCCCGCGCUCGUCGGCCACCCCCUCCCCAACCAGCUCCCGUAGCCGUUGGAGCGCGCCCGGUUCCUCUGACACGGCUGCUGCUCGCAUUCGGGCUGGCCUCGCGGCCUCCGCUGGGGCUGGAGUCGUUGCCAGAUCCGCUGGAUCUUGCGCUUCCCCCGCGGCCCCUUCCAUCUUCGAGGUGGGGGAGUCGAGCCGACAGGCCGCGCUCAGGCCGCGUGCUGCUGCCCCGCAUUCAUCACCUGCUCCGGCCUACCCCCUCGCCUCAGAUCUAUCAUCUGCACGCCACACAGCUACCCCUCCGUCCCGCCGGCACGCCAUGGCCGCCUUAAAUCCAUCGUCUGCGCGCCUGCAGCGCUCGCCAUUAACUCGCGGACAGUGCGCCCUCCCCGGGCCGCACCUUCGCGCUCUCCUCCAGGCGGAGUUAUCUCGCCUGCAUUGCGCCCUGCCCACUCCGCCUCUCAGCGCAACCAGCAUCGCCAGCAGGAUUCCCGCGAUGACCCGGUCCAAGCCUACCCGAAAUGGCAGCAGGUCGUUUCGAGGCGCCGGCGGCGUGCGCCGCCCGUACUUGCUCCGGGCGCUCGGAGUUAUGCCCGCGCGUCUCCCCCGAGGCACGUUGGCUGGCGCAGCAACACCACAGCGCCUUCUUAAGGAGGUUCCGGGGCUGCUGUCUUCGGUGUCUCGCCCCUCGCCACCAUGCCGUCGACUACCACGACCCGGUGAGAUGCGCUGACUGCUGGCGUUUCGGCCAUCGCUCUCGCUCCAAACUCUGUAGCCUCAGCCACCCCCCGCAAGCUCCACCGCACGCUCCGCCCCCCAGCCAUCUGCCUCAGCCACCACCACCCCCAUCUCGCCCGCUACCUCGCCAGUCUGCCCCGCCGGCGCCGCUGCCCGCCUCCCUUCCUCCUCCGCCCCCAGGUCCGCCCCCGCCAUGUGCCAUGGCGUACCGUCCCGGAGAGGCCUCCCAGCGGCCUAGGGCUGGCUCCACCUUCACCUUUUGCACGUCGGCGAUGGAGGAGGCGGCGCGCCAAUUGCGUUCAUCCGCGGUGGUCAUCACCAUGUCCCAGCUGCGUCACGACAUCAACCCCCAGCUUGUCGCCAAGGCGCUGGAGCGCGACCUCGGCAUCCCUUGGGAGGAGAUGCACGUCUCCAAGCACUCGCCGGAGGACUUCCUGGUGCGGUUCGCGCACGCCCGCCACAAGAACGUCGAUGUGGACGUCGGCGUGGCGACCUGCAGAGGCGUGGCGCUCUCCAUCGCUCCGUGGUCGCCGGUGGCGCAUGGUCAUCAGCGGGCCUGGCGGUUCUACUGCAGGCUUGCGGUAGAAGGUAUCCCCGUCCAAGCCUGGACCAAGGAGGCGGUGCAGGACGCCAUCGGCCGCUCCUGCCACGUCGAGCGGCUCGAGAGGCAGUCCACGUCGCUCUCCAACACCUCCUGUGUCUACGCAUGGGUGUGGGCAUGGUCGCCUGACGACAUCCCCACGGCCAACGGCUUCUCCAUCAUCGACCGCCCUGACGAUGGCCGUGGCCGCCAAGCGCUGCCAGAGGGCUGCCCCAGCUUUGACGGGCCCUGCGGCCCGCAGUUUCCAGUGCUCAUCCAUUUGGAUCGCACCCGCAACUACUCGCCACUUGAAGAUCGCCCCCCCAGCGCGGACCAGGACUGGCCCCACGAUAAGCGCUUCCACUGGGAGCGACGCACGGAGGACGGCCAGGCCGGAACUGGCAGGCGUCGUGCUGUUGCUGCUUCCUGUGCUAGGCCAAGGCCGCGCCCUCGAGAUGACGACGACGACAACCAGGGCCGAGAUGGGCGCGGUCGGCAGCACCAUGCCCAUUCCCGUUCGGCGUGGCGCUCCGGUCUGCUCGGUUGCCGCUCCGACGAGGUGGCGCCCAGCCGUGUUCGGCGACAAGGAGGCGGCGGUGGCGGGCGCCCCGGUAGGCGCCGGGUGGUCUCCCAGGACGACGUGCCCGGCAGGCAGGCCCGCAGCCUGAGCCCACCUUCUGACGGCUUGGGGCGUCGGGACCGCUCUCGCUCGCGGGACCGCACAUCGCCGACAAGUUUGGAGGCUUCCUCCUUGGAGGCAGGUGGCGUGCCUGUCUCUCCGCACGGCUGCCUGCCCUCAAGCGGCGCGUUGCUCCAGGAGGGCACGGUGCAGGUGCUCCAGGGCGUCCCUGUCGCCCCGGGCGUGGCGCCUGCCCCCGUGCUAGAAGGGGUCCCCGUGGGCGUCUUCCUUGAGCCUGACAUGGGGCCGUUCCACGAGGAGGUGGGGGCCUUUUGGGAGGAGCUCACGCGCUCUGACCCCCAGUUGUUCGAGCUCGACGCCCUAUCGGCCUAGCAGUCCGGUCAGCUGGAGCCCGGGGUGCAGGCUGCCGAUGACUGCGCGGCCUGGGUGCAGCCGCGCCCUCCCCAACCCCACGGACUACCUGCAUGGGAGGAGCUCGAGGAGCCACGCACCAGCGUCCUCGUUGGCCCAGGACCUGCUGGCCAAGCCAUGGCCCUCGCUGGGUUAUUUGGUUCCCGCACCGAUCGAGCCUGCCCCUCUAGCGGCAGCCCAGGAGCUGACCUGGCCGGUGGGGACGGUUAACCAUCGGGUGGAGUGCAUCAUGUCAGCAGAUCAACUCGCAGCAUAGCUUCAGGAUCUGGAGGUCGACGAGGCAACCACGUUCCUCUCCAAAGUUUUCCGUCUGCUACCACCCUCCGUCAUUGGUGCGCCACCUUGCUUGGACUCCAAUGCCUCCACUGAUGACACCCUGCCAUGGCCGGCCUCCAAUGCCACGGCUCCGGCCCCAGAGCCGCCGACGCUGAUGAUCAAGACCCCGGCCGUCCCCCGCCGGGCCAGCCCACGGGUCGCGGCCAGGGCGGCCGGCAUGACCCAGCAGCAGAAGGCGCAAGCUAGGCUCGCCAAGCAGUUGGCGUUUAUUGACCACCCAGGCCAGUUCACGGCCGAUGUGCGUCAGCGCUACACUGAUCGCUUCAAGGCGCCACUGGGAAGGAUGGUCUCCGCGUUAGGGCGGGCGGCGGGAGUGCACUCUUCGGCCACCCUCAACCUUCCGGACGAGGACCUGCUCGAGCUUGCCGGCGAUGCCGCCUGAUGCAAUCCAGAUGUCCAAGGGGCCCUGUUCUGUUGUUAUGUUAGUCCGUCUCCAGUUCGUGUCGUGUUGUAGCCACCACGCCGUCCCCGGACCGCGUCGUAGGCUAGGCUUUAGUUUGUUGCGACCUCGCCGGGCGCCCGUGUUGUCACUCCGGCCGUACCAGCUCAUGUGUGUUCGCUUCGCUGCUCCCUGUUCGAGCAUGCCAAUGCAAUGGGUCUUUGUUCGUGUUUGCCCUGAGUAGCUUUUCUCUGUUGAACUGGAACGCAAGGGGCCUGAAUGACCGCGCCCGUAGAUGGGGUGUGCGAUCGCUCGUGGAGCAGUCUAGAUGCUCGAUCCUUUGUGUGCAGGAAACCAAGCGCGAAGCAAUUCUGGCUGCCAUGCUUGCUGAGAUCGUAGGGCCGAGGUUGGGGAGCUCGUUGGUUCUGCCUGCGGCUGGAACGCGGGGAGGAGUUCUAUUGGCCUGGGAUGCUGCCUCCUUCCAGAUCGAUCAGAUUGAUAUGUCAGCCUUCGCCAUUACCGCGCUAGUGGCGCCGCUGGUGGGUGGUGCGGCCUGGACGCUGACCACGGUCUAUGGGCCCUCAGAGGAAGACACCAAACCUCUUUUCCUUGCUGACCUGGCUCGGAUUCGUGGGCUUAUUUUCGGACCCUGGCUUAUAAUCAGGAAUUUUAACCUAAUUUAUGAAGCCCGGGACAAGAGCAACUCCAACAUCAAUCUGCGGCUUAUGGCGCGAUUUCGAUCGGCGCUAAAUAACAGCGACCUCAAGGAGAUCAAUUUAUGCGGCAGGCGCUUCACAUGGUCAAACGAGCAAGCCUCGCCCACGCUGGUCCGCCUGGAUCGCGCCUUCUGCACGCCGGAGUGGGAUCUCCAGUUCAGUGCAGCAUGGCUCCAACCCCUCGCCACGGCCAUGUCAGAUCACUGCCCUCUCCUCUUGACAUGUGAGUCCUCCUCGCGGCCUAGUGCGCGGUUCCGUUUCGAAGCCUUCUGGCCGCACGUCUCUGGGUUCAAGGAGGUUGUGGCAGCAGUCUGGAACGCGCCAGGUGUGCAGGGAUGCGCGCUUAUCAGGUUGGACACAAAGCUCAAGCGGGCGGCUAGAGCGCUCCGUCUUUGGCACAAGCACCACAUCGGGAACACUCGCUUGCAGCUGCUGAUGGCGUAGGACACAGUUCUGUUGCUCGACCAAGCUCAGGAAGAUAGGCAGCUCGAGCUGGACGAGCUAACCCUACGCAAAGAGCUCAAGUCCCGCAUUCUUGGUCUCACAGUCAUCGAGCGCAUCAAGGCCAGGCAGCGCGCCAGAGUCAGGAAAGUUCGAGAGGGUGAUGCCAACACCAAGUAUUUUCACAUAAAAGCUAAUGGCUAUCGAAGGAAAAACUUCAUUGGCUCAUUGGCUUCGGGCAGCGUUUUGGCCACUGAGCAACGCCACAAAGAGCAGAUCGCGACCGAGUUCUUCGACCGCUUGCUCGGGGACCCAGGCUCGGUGUCAACGGGGUUCAACUGGGAUGCGCUGGGCCUUUCUAGGGCCAAUCUCAAUGACCUAGAGGUCGCGUUCACCCGGGAGGAAAUCGCAGCGGCCAUUGCGGACCUGCCGCCAGAUCGGGCCCCGGGCCCGGAUGGUUUUUCAGGGGCUUUCUACAAGGUGGCGGCGGAAAUCAUUUUAGAUGACCUGGUGCUCGCAUUCCAGCAGCUGCACUGCAUGAACCGGACAGGCCUGCACCUGCUCAAUGGGGCGCACGUCGUGCUCUUGGCCAAGAAAGAUGGGGCUUCGAGCAUGGCGGACUACAAGCCCAUCAGCCUGCUGCACAGCGUGGCGAAGCUCUUUAGCAAGGUGCUUGCAUUGAGGCUUACCAAGCGGAUCGACACGCUCAUCUCGCCGACAUAGAGCGCCUUCAUCAAGGGCAGAUGCAUCCAAGACAAUUUCAUUUUUGUGCAAGGGAUGGCCAGGCACUUCCACAUGAUAAAGCGGGCCGCUAUUUUGCUAAAGCUUGAUAUAGCAAAAACAUUCGACACCGUCUCCUGGCCCUACCUGUUGGACAUGAUGCGUGCGAGAGGUUUCGGGUCACGCUGGUGCAACUGGAUCGCCAUGCUCCUCGCCACCAGCUCGUCCAGGGUGCUCGUCAACAAGGCGUUAGGCCGGUCGAUCAGGCACCACAGGGGGGCUCAGGCAGGGCGACUCGAUUUCCCCUUUCUUGUUCAUCCUCGCCAUGGAGCCGCUCCAGAGGCUGCUAGACUUAGCAGUCCAUGAUGGGCUGCUUUCCAAGUUAAAGGGGAGGAUUCCAAGCCUACGAACCUCUCUCUACGCGGAUGACGUUGCUCUCUUCUUAAACCAUAUCCACCAAGAGCUUCUUGCCGUUCAGCAGAUUCUGCAAGCCUUUGGGCAUGCCACGAGGCUACACGUAAAUUUCUCCAAGAGCAAGGCCAUUCCGAUCCGCCCCGAGCUUUUCGAUGUGGAGAAUGUCAUACAACCGCUCGGGGCCGCGCGCGCCGCCCUGCCAUGUUGUUUCUUGGGCCUCCCCCUGUCCCUUCGCAAGGUUCGCAAAGCUGAGCUGCAGCCGUUGCUGGACAAGAUCUUGGCCCGUCUCGCCGCAUGGAAAUUCAAGCUUUUCACUGCUGCCGUCCAUCUUGUGCUCCCGAACUCUGUGCUCUCCGUGUUGGCUGUAUAUUGGCUUUCAGUUCAUCAACUACCAGCCUGGGUGAGGCGUCAGAUAGACAAAAUCAGAAGAGCGUGGCUCUGGCGUGGACAGGAGAGUUGCCUUGGAGGGCACUGCAAGGUUGCAUGGGGUAGGAUAUGCAGACCUAAAGAGCUCGGAGGUUUGGGCAUCAUCGACCUUGACCGCUUCGGAAUCGCUCUCAGGCUGAGAUGGCUUUGGUGGGAAAAGACGGCCCCCUACAAACCUUGGAUUGGUCUCCCCGUGUCGUGCAAUGAGGACGACCGCCGUCUGUUUGCGGCUGCCACAACCGUGGUGCUAGGCGAUGGCCGAACGGCCUCCUUUUGGAUGGACAGUUGGCUGCAAGGCCAAGCUCCAUGCCACAUUGCGCCAGAACUGUUUCGCCUCUCGAAACACAAGCAUAGCACCGUGCGGCAGGCACUAAACGGCAACCGUUGGGUGACCAACCUGGGUGGACGAGUCCCAAGUAACCUGCUCGCUGCUUUUGUUUCUCUCUGGGGCAGGAUCAGUGCUGCGACCAUCCUUGAUACAGGCAGGGACAAGUUCACCUGGAAGCUUGAGGCCUCUGGCAGCUACUCGGCCUCGUCGGCAUACCGAUUGCAAUUCAUGGUGUCCACCUCCUCGCCUAUCAUGCACUUGGUCUGGCAUGCCCGGGCGCCGGCCAAGAUUAAGUUUUUCACAUGGCUCCUAUCUGCCGGUCGACUGCUCACGGCGGACCGGCUCAUGGCCAGGGCAUGGCCCAAUUCCUAUUUCUGUCCAUUGUGCUGGCGCAACCUGGAGACCGCUCAACACCUAUUUAGGAAGUGCAUUUGGUCGAGGAACCUCUGGACGGCAGCGGCCAGCCGCUUCCGCGUUCCCACCUUCCUUCCUUCCUUGCUCCUGGAGGUCCACAAACUGCAUGGUGGAGUGGCUGGACGGCCUCAGUGUGGUGCCUCAUGACCACAAGCGGGCGCGAUCAAUCGCUCUCCUAACCAAUUGGUGGAUUUGGCUAGAGCGUAACGGCUGCAUCUUCAGGGAUCUCAAGCACCCCGUCCGGGUAGUGCUGGAGCUUCUCACCGAUGACCUAGCUACGUGGGCACUAGCAGGGGGUAACCAUCUGAUGCUGCGAGAGUGAGGACCUUGCAACCUGGGUUCUUGUUUUUCUUUCUUUUGUAUUUUGGCAGAUGUCGGCUGCUUUUGUACAGACUAGCGCUCUGUCGCUGCUUCCUCUCACAAUGCACACGCAGUUCACCUGCGCUUCCUAAAAAAAGAUACUAUGCAUCACGAAAGUAGUAUCAUAUACUAGUAUCAUAUGCAUGAUCAUACUAGUAUAUGAUUCUCUCUAUUAGAGCAUCUUCAGCCGCGCCCCCAAUAGGGCCUUAGGGUGACUUUUUUCGCGCCGGCGUCGAACCCCCCCCCCCCUCAGCUGCGUCCUCAAGACGUCGAAAUCCGCUGGCUCGGCCCUUUUUGGACCCGGCGAUCCCAGACCGAAUCCAGUGCACUGGGGCGCUCAGGGGCUCCGGCGGAAGGGAAAAACACGCCUGGCCCACACCGUCAAACGAAAAGUCAAGGCAAUCGUCCAGAUUCGCUCCCACCCUCAUGCGCUCGGCCACCACCCUGCUGAUUCUGGCGCCGCUCACCGCCCAACACCGCUAGAUAGGCCAUUCCUUGCCGGAAAAGAGAGAAUAUUUCGUCGCGACAAACUCUCCACCACCUUCCGAGUGAGUUUUCCGGCGCUUCGACCACGCAGGGCGGUAUACCAACGGUGAUUUGUCUGCUCGGCGAUGAAUUCAGAUGACGAGGAGGCACUCGCGGCAUUGCUGGAGGAGGAAGCCAAUGCCGACGUCCAGGGCGAGGGAGCAUCUCAUGGUCCUUGCCACCCUCGUCGUCCUGCUCGCGAGCAAUGAAAAGCCGCGGCGAGGUGGCUCGGCGCCGGGGCGGCUGAAAGCAAAGAACCGGCAUCGCUUGGAAGGCUAUUGCAUGCUCUACUCCGACUACUUCGCCGACGCUCCAUUGCAUGGCGACAAAGUAUUUCGGCGCCGUUAUCGGAUGAGCCGAAAGAUUUUCCUCAGGAUUGUGUAUUCCAUCCGGGAGUUCGACAUCUACUUCAAGUGCAAGAAGGAUUGCACUGGCAAACUUGGAUUCACCUCAAUCCAUAAGUGCACGACAAUUAUGAGGAUGCUUGCAUACGGAGCUCCCGAUGAUUCACUCGACGACUAUGGGUGCAUGGCCGAGUCCACGACCAUUGAGUGUUUCAACAAGUUGUCCAGGGCAGUGGUGGCAGUGUUUGGACCGCAAUACUUGUGAACACCCAAUGUUGAAGACACUACUCGGAUCCUAGCACAAAAUGUAGCAAGAGGAUUUCUUGAGAUGCUUGGAAGCAUCAACUGCAUGCAUUGGAAAUGGAAGAACUGUCCAUUUGCUUGGCAGGGGAUGUACAAAGGCGCCAAAGGCGGUUGCAGUGUGGUACUUGAGGCAGUGGCCACACAUGACCUCUGGAUUUGGCACUCCUUUGGUAUGCCAGGAACUCACAAUGACAUCAACGUGCUGCAGUGCUCCCCUGUCUUUGCCAAGCUUGUUGAAGGUCAUUCUCCUCCUAUGAACUUCGAGGUCAAUGGGCGGCACUACAACAAGGGAUACUACCUAGCCGAUGGCAUCUAUCCGAGAUGGUCUACAUUUGUGAAGACUAUCUCAAACUCUGUGCCAGGAGGCAAGAACUCCCACUUUGUGAAGGUUCAGGAGGCUUGCAGGAAGGGUGUCGAGCGGGCAUUUGGUGUGCUCCAAUCUCGAUUUGCUGUUGUCCGGUACCCCACUCAAACCUGGUCGAAAGAUCAAAUGUGGGAGAUCAUGACUUCCUAUGUCAUCUUGCACAACAUGAUCAUUGAGAGCGAGCAGGAAGAGCCAAUGUUUGACAUUGAACCAUAUUACAGGUAGGGUCCUCUUGUGCAAGUUGAUCAUCAGCUACCGGCAACCUGGAUUGUCUUCCUCAAUAUGCGUCAGGAGAUCCGAGACACAUAGGUGCACCAACAACUGCAGCAGGAUCUGGUGGAGCACCUAUGGCGGCUCAAGGGCAACGCCUAGCUCGACAUGUGAUGAAAGACGAGUUUUUAUUUGUUGAACUAUAUAAUUUGUAUUAAACUAUUUGUUGUUGAACUAUUUCAUUUCUCUUGAUUUUCUGUGAUGAACUAUGUGAUAAAAAAAUUGCGUCGAACCACGGUGAAUAUGGGUCGAUUUGCGCCGAUAGCAGGUCGAUUUUUCGCCGAAAGUGGGCUGAAAAGCGGGCACAUUGGGCCGAUAUGGGCGCUUGGAGGCGACAUGGGGCAGCGGCUGGAAACCCAAUCACCCCAGAGACGAUUUUCGCGCUGGCUCAUCCCCAGACGUCGAUUUUUAAGCCCCCUAGAGGCCAACGGCUGGAGAUGCUCUUACGGGCAGCCUCAAGGCGACUGGACGCUGCAAGGCUUGGCCAGGGGCAGUGGGUACCUGCUAUACGCUGCAAUUCACAACGGGGUUAGGCCAACUCCACCGUAUGACCCCAAACGGAUGUCCGGUUUUGCCGGAUUUUGUCCCUUUGGGGCGGCAAUGGGUUUGCCCAUGUCCGCCUCUGUCCAUUGGGUCGUGGGUGCGCCCAGCGCGUGGCCGCACCCCAAAUCAUGUCCGUGUUGGACGUGAUAAAAAACAGAAAAACUUAAAUAAAAUGACUUUAAAAGUAAAUAAACGCAGAUAAAAAACUUGAAACAUAAUUUAAGGGGUCCAUGGUGCACGGGGGCGGCGGGCGGGACGGUGGCAGGUGUCUGCACCACCCCCUCCUGUGGCGAGGCGUCCCGCUCCGAUGACCCCGGCGGCGUGGGGCACCAGUUCACGCCCCCACGGCGUCCGCCAUCUCCGGAGCCGUGCACGACCAGCUCCAGUGCUGGCCCACCAGGCCCGGGUGGAACGCGGCCAUCGGCGGCUCCUCCAUCACCUUCUCCUUCGCCACCAUCUCCAGCUUGGGGAUGGCGACGUCGCCUGCUGCAGAGAGGGCCGUCAUCUCCUCGAGGCCCUCCCAUUGGCGCUCAUCGUGCGUGCGCAUGGAGUCCUCCAUGACACGCGCCAUGAGACGGGCCUCCUCCUCCGCUGUCAUGCGAGGAGGUGGAGGUGGUGAUGGAGACGGGGAAGGCGGCGACGUGGGCGUGAGGCCGCGCACCCGCGUACGCCGGCGCACCUCCCGACAUGGCCGCCGCGGCCCCGACACCGUGCCGGCGAAGUAGGAUGCGCGUCGCACGUCGUGCUCGUCCUGGAGCCACGUGUCCCAGAGCACGGAGUCGGGGGCGUACCUCUCGUCGUAGUAGAGGUCGUUGGGGAGGAGGCGGCGGCGGUGCUCAAUCUCAUCACGUCGUGCACGGCCGCUCAUCGACACCGGCGAGAUCGGGACCCGGUCGGCGGAGAGGUGCCAAUUGUUGGGGAGGUGCACGUCGCUCCACGGGACCGGCGUCCUCGUCUCCCAGUACGGCCGGCAUACGUCCACGGCCAGGUACUGUCGGUCGCGCUCGCCGGCGGCCCUAGGGGCGAUGGUGAAGGGGGCAGGCGCAGGGGCUCGACGGGUGGUGCGCGGCGGUGAUGCGGGCUCCUCCUUCUUCACGGAGCCGCGGCGGCGCCCCGAGGAGGAGCCAGCCUCGCGGUCGUGCUUCCCCUUGCGGCCGUGGUUCCAGAAGCCCAUGGCUGCGAGGCGGCCGGCCGGCGAGUUCGAGGCUAGGGUUUUGGUGCUGUCGGGUUUCGAGGAGGCCGCGGGGUGGAGUGGGAGUGUGGACGACGACCGGUCCACGGGUUCCCCAUUUAAGAAGGACCGCGGCUGUUCGGCUGGGCGGAUGACAGGUGGGGCCGCCCGCGCGUUCGCAUUGAUGUGGACGGGUGGAGGUAGGUGGCCGCCUGCCACGUGGCCCCGACGCGGACGAGGCGCGCGUCUGCUUGAUGUCCGCCGCGACCCAAACCCGACGCAUGUUUGCACUCGAAAUGGGUCGGCCCGGACACAAAACGAACCAGAUUGAUCCGGACCGUCGCGCGUUGGGCCGAUCUGUUUGUUCCUUUACCCCAAACGAACGGGGUCGGACAGAAUAGGGUCGCGCAGUGGAGUUGGCCUUAUUGCCUCCUUGAUUAUUCGUUUCGAUCAAUGCCUGGUGGCAAGUCAUGUGGCCUCCAUUUGUCGUCGAUCUCGAGGGGAAAACUCAAAAAAGACUCGGCGCCCUCCACGCAUGCAUGCUCCGCGCCACGGAUCCGGCUUGCUUGCUCCUUCCUCAUGCUUCCAUCCGUGCUUCCACUUCAUGCUACGAUUGUCUUUUUUUCUUUUUUUCUUUCUAAUCUAAUCAUUCCCUCCCUGAUUUUAAAGGGGUGGGGCCGAGCCAUAUUUUGUUCCAAUCGAAUCAAGCCAUGUAUACGAAAGUACGGAUGUGCACACGUCAGGGAGCAGGCAAGUCUUGUCCCCGCGCCACACCCCCUCCACGCAUGCAUGCAUGCUCCGCGCCACACCCCCUCCACGCAUGCAUGCUCCGCGCCACACCCCCUCCACCCACCCCUCUGCCGCAUCAUGCAUGCAUCGUGUGGGUACGUGCGUAGUACAGCGUAGCACACGAAUGCAUAUGCUUCCUUUCUCUGUCUGCUGCUGUAGUACUGUGCAUGUACUACCAGUCAUCAGGUAUUAUUAGAUCAGUUUUGCGAAGUCUUAGUCGACUGAGAUCUUAUAUUAAGAUUAGGUGUGGCCAGGUCUCAGUCGACUAAAAUUUAACAAGGUCUUAGUUGACUGAGAUUUAACAACGUCUCAAUCAAAGUGUCAUAAUAUGCAAGAAAGAGAAAGAAAAAAUAAAAAGAAAUUUUACACCAAUCUCAAUGUGAGAUCUUACUGAUAUAACAUUUUUUUUAAACUUACGGAUAUAACAUAGACUGAGAUUUAGCGAAAUCUCAGUUGACUGAGAUUUAGCAAGACUGUAUUAGAUUCUAACAGUAAGUUGAUAUCGUCAUAGACGCCCACGGUAAAAAACACGAAUCUGUCCGUCGUAUAAUUUCGACACCAGGUACGCAAGCACGUAAGAGUCGAGUCGGGGGACACAUGCUGACACGCAUGCACGCACGAUUGGCGAGACGCGACAGCCCUACCAGCAGAGCCGUGCAUAGAGAGCAAAGCGUGCGGCACGGCUGGAUCACUUAUUCACCUGCCUCCUGGGGCACCCCACAACGCCCUGCCUGCCUGCCUGCUCGUGUUGCUCGCGCAUCUUCGCCCUAGCUCGACUGCGUCCAGCUCCAGUCGAUGUGAGAGGCAAGUCAGGAAGCACACACGGACCUAGUACGAAUGUCGACCGGGAGGGUGUCCCCGCUGCGUCUAGCGCAUUAGCAUCGCCACUGCCAUUUUUGAGGAUCAGUGCUGCUGAUUCAUUAGGAGGCGUCGCCGCAUGCAGGUGGUGCGACCCCUGCACUGCCACCGCCACAGGGUGGCAUGCAUGCGGCCGGAGAGGGUGGGGUCUCGCGUUUACGCGCUUGUGGUGUGUCAAUCUGUCAUCUGUGUGUCUCGUGUGCAGUCAUGGCGCUGUGUGCGUGACUGCUAGCGGGUACGUACGUGGCUACGACCGAUGGUGAUGUGCCGUCGGUGUGGCCAUGCAUGGUACGUCGAAUGGUGUCAAGUCGAGCACGACGGACCGUCGUCAUCUUUCUCCACCACACAUGCAUGUCCUGACAGUUUCAGGGUCAGUUCUAGACGAGCGACUAUGAAGCUCUGCCGAUGGAGUCAUGACACGUACACACAUGAAAUCGUGGCUACAUCAUUUGCAUUUGGGGCGCGACGAAUUAUUUGUUUUUGGUUUCAGAAUGUGUACAUGGCACCUUGGGUAAUGGAGAACUCUGUUAGAGGAUGGUGGUUAAGGAAAAUGACACGCACAAGCCACCAAAGGAAGGCGAUGGACACGCUCUGCCGCUCACAAUACUUGUCAACAUGCACAACCUGGAAGAAAUGAAAUGUGAGAAUCCUCCGCAAACCUCGACGACGCCAACUAUCAUCCUAUUAAUACCAUUUCUCAUCCUUUUUUCUUUUCUUGUUCGGCCUAGUGAUCCCAAAUAGAAUUUUUUUUGUGUGGUUAAAAAGAGUUUUAUUUCAUAAUGAUCGAGUUAUAAUCACGAGAUAACAAGUCCUCAUAGAAAGGUAGGCUUGAAUUCAGCCAUACUGCAGUACAAGCAUUGGUACGGCUAUAAAGAGCCAGUUGAUGUGCUACCUUAUUCUGAUCUCUACUAAUUUUCAGUGGAAGAAACUCUCUAUCAACCAUAAAAGCUUUAAUCUCCGCAGCUAAGUGUCCGUAGGCCGACCUACACAACGUAUCUCCUUCAAUGGUGGCCAAAGCACUUGUAGAAUCUGACUGGACAAUGAUAGACAUAUCCGAAUGCUCAAUGGCCAGUGCCAUACCCUGUAUUAAAGCAUGAAUCUCCGUUUCGUCUAAGGCGUCGUUACAGUUGAAGAUAUAUCUAUAAGCCGCAAAUAUUGUUGAACCAUUCUCCCUUUGUAGCACCAUCCCAGCCGACGCGCGGCCCUCCUGAGCCGAGAAAGAUCCGUCCAUAAAGAGCGCCACCUAUCCCACCGGUGGUAGAGGCCAACGCUUAGAUCGAGCAUGGUUGGUAUCGGUAAUUUUUACUUGGCUGUGCACAACAAAUGGCAUCUUUCCCUUAAUAAUAUCCUCCAUGCUAUACUUCUUCGCCACAUUCAGAGAUUUAUAGUAACUGUCUAAGUAGUCAACAGUUGCCUGUACUGUGCACUCACCUUUCCCAUGCGUAAUGUCAUUGCGCAGCUGCCUGUACUGUCAACAGUUGCCUCUAGUCAUAAUUACAAGGUCUCUAACCUGUCCCGAACAAUUUGCCAAAAGCUGGAGCACCCAAUCUUUACCAGUAUCCCAAAUAGACUCGAUGCAUCGUAAAAUGUCUCCUAAAAGAUCCUCGAGAAACUAGCACGCAUGCACGUAAAAAACUAACCUCUCCAUCGAGCUGGCCGUUGGAUGGAUUCUUCCGAAGGACAAGCACGUAAUAAACACUACACGUACGAAUCGAUUCCGCCGGCCGGAGUCCGGAGAUGCAAGAGAAACGUACACGAACCCGCUGAUCUGAUCCGAACACACGCACACGGUGUCGGGUGUGAUGGGAUUAACUAAAUUAAGGAUCUGUCUAAGACACAUCUGGAUAUGACAUAGUUAUAUCACAUCUAAUCUGAUGUCCACUACGUUUGUGGUCUAUUUUUUUUAACUUUUUCUGGUUUCUUGUUGCUGCCUUAUUUGUGGAGUUUAGAUGUGACAUCCUUGGAAAACAUCUAGAUGUGAAUUAGAUAAACUGUCUAAGACACAUCUAGAUGUAACAUAGUUAUGUCACAUCUAACCUGAUGUCCACUACGUUUGCGGUCUAUUUUUUUUCUCAACCUUUUUUUUGGUUUUUUGUUGCCGCCUUAUUUGUGGAGCUUAGAUGUGAUAUCUUUAGAAAAUAUCUAGAUGUGAAUUAGAUAAAUUGUUUAGUUAAUUAGAUUAUCAUCAUUAAAGAACAAAUCUAUCUCUAAUAAGGAAUUACCAAUAUAUCCUGAAGAAAAUUUUUAAUCGAUCCAUACUAAUCAUUGGAUCAACUAAAUGCUACCCCACUAUUUUGGGUAGUAUGAUGUAUCGUAAUUUUUUUUGUGGUACGAGUCAAGUCAUUUGCCUCUGUUUUGAAAAAAGCAUAUCAAGGUGUGUACACACACGCAGCAUAAAUUUUAAGCGAUGGAUCGAGCAUAUUGGCCGUCGUGGUCAUGUCAUGGAUAUGGUACGAUCGAUUUUUCCACUGAAAGCACAAGAGAACCCGUGGAAUCUCCUCCGCUUCACCGUUCUGUGGCGUUCACACUUCUGACGGCAGAUCACUAGUCCAAAAGGUUGGUUCUAUAACGACGCACGGCCGCCUAGCUAUCGGUUUCUUUAGCUACUUGCAUACGCUUAACACGCUUCGCCACACAUGCUGCCGGCUGCUGUCAUGCAUGCCGACGAAGCUAUCGAGCUCACCAGCCCGUAUAUAACGUCGUUGUCACUAGGACAACUUGCAGAGUUGCAAGUUCAGGUUACUUUCUUGCUUUGUUUGCAAGUUGUACUGUGAUUCGCAUGAAUGUACCGUGCCUAAUUACUUGGAAAUGGAUACUAGCUCGUCAAUUAUUUAGUUGCAUUAAGGCUCCAUGAAUCUUAUAGUAUAUUUGCAAGGACAGAGAGAGAGCAUGGCAUAGGAUGAGAGAGAGAGGGAGAGCACUAGCUAGUGCCUCGGUACUAGGGAAAGGGGUUUUCAGCUCCUGCUGCUCCUAUCCUUGUUGGUGAUCGAUGGAUACAGAUUCCCUAGCGAAGCAAAGCGAGCAGCAAUCUAUUGGCCAUCAUCCUUGGCCAGCCAGCGCACAGCAAAUAUGGUGCUCUUCAAGCCUCACUUUUGGCUCCUUCCUUUACUCGAUGAUGCCCGGUCCUCGCAAAGACCCGGCUUUGGCCUUGUCUUUUUCCCGCUCUCCUUUUGAUUGCUAGUGCAUGCAUACGCGCUCAUGAUGCGUCGUUAAAUUUGUUUUAUUGCCAUCACAGUUGUAAAAGGACAAGAUAGGCAUGCAAAAGCUACCGGCGCCACGUACCUGGACCAUAGGAAUGCCUUUUCUAGCAUUGGUCUCGUUCACCCCUUGCUGCCUACCCAUACCUUAUCUCGAUAUACGUGUAAUCUACUCACACAUAAAAGACGUUUUGGAUUUUAAUAUAAACUAGAUACGAACUAAAAUGAAUGAACAAAUACACUAAAACGUGUCUACAUACAUUCGACUCACACUAAAAUUUGAGAACAGAGGGAGUAGCUACUUGCGUUCCUGAGUUCCGAACUAAUAUGCAUAUAUAGUUUAUGUAUUGCACGUGCACGGUCUAGUAUUGCUCGAAGAAUAGAAAAAAACACAAUUUCAAUCACUUGAUUAGCAUGAGAAAAUCAUAUUUACAUGCCAAAUCAACCAAACAUCAUGAUUUGCCAGCGAAUCAUCUGCCUACAAUCUUAGAACAUGAUAAAGAGAUGGAAACCCUGCCCCUUCUCCGUGAUGACAUGAGAGCACAAAAUAAUCUCCAAAGAUGGGCGAAAUCUCCAUUGAUACGUACAUGUAGAAGGCAGAUCUUCAUCAGAGAUAUAAUGAACCACAUGUAUCAAUGUUGUCGAGGAAAAUGCGCAAGCAUGUUUGAUCUCACCACAUAGUAACGAGAAAUGAACCUACAACAUCCCUUGAAAUGAACCUACAACGGUGGCUAGGGUUGGUGGUGUAUAUAUACGAGCUCUCCCGUAGCCUCCUCCCUUGAUGUAACAUCUCUCCUUUGAUCCAAGGGCUCUAGGAGCCCAAUCCUCUCCUAAAACAUUCCUUAAAGAACAAGGAAGUUGUAGGAACAAAUGAGACGAAAUUCACGAAGAGUGCCAUCUAGAAAGGUAAUUUUUGGUGAGGUUUGGAGCUCAUACGAGCAGGUGUACGACCACACGCGAUCGUUCGGUUGGGCGUCUUGCGUUGUGUCCCCCUCAGGUAAAACGACCGUCAUUUCUUCAUACGAACUCGGAAUUUGAUGUUUUUGGACUCAUUAGAUUCGUAUGAACGACACGGAUCCAUUUCUGAUUCUAGAUCUUAAUUUGGAGCACUUUGGAAAAAUGACCUUUUCACUCUUUGAAUUGGCUAAGUCUGGGGCGUGGAUAUCCUCCGUUGAAAUUCUUUCAUCGUGCUUAAUGCUUGGGAAAUCCACGUCACCUACAGGACACGCAAAUACAGAGAAAACUAAUAAAAACCAACGAAAAAUGAAGAAUAUGAAAUGUUCGUGGUGAAAAGAGUAACAAACUGGAAAUCAUGGAUAUGGACAUGUAAUUGGCUCAGUGGGACAUGAUAUGCUGAAAUAAUGUGCAACAAAUGAGCUCUAAAAAUGCGAAAAAUAUGGAGCCAUCACUCUUUCUUGUCAUAUGUGGAGAAUACUGUCGACUGAUACGUCUCCAACGUAUUUAUAAUUUUUUAUUGUUCCAUGCUAUUAUAGUAUCAAUCUUGAAUGUUUUAUAUGCAAUUGUAUGUCAUUAGAUAUCAUUUUGUGGGACUAACCUAUUAACUUAGUGCCAAGUGCCACUUGCUGUUUUUUUGCCUGUUGUUGGUUUUCCAGGAAAUCGGUACUAAAUGAAGUCCAAAUGCCAUAAAACAUUUGACAAUUUUUUUCUUGACAUAAGAUGUUGGGGAACGUAGUAAUUUCAAAAUUUUCCUACGCACACGCAAGAUCAUGGUGAUGCAUAGCAACGAGAGGGGAAGAGUGUUGUCCACGUACCCUCGUAGACUGUAAGCGGAAGCGUUAUGACAAUGCGGUUGAUGUAGUCGUACGUCUUCACAAUUGAUCGAUCCUAGUACCGAAAGUACGGCACCUCCGCGAUCUGCACACGUUCGGCUCGGUGACGUCCCACGAACUCUCGAUCCAGCUGAGUGUCGAGGGAGAAUUUCGUUAGCACGACGGCGUGAUGACGGUGAUGAUGAUGCUACCGUCGCAGGGAUUCUACUAAGCACUACGAUGAUAUGACCGAGGUGGAUUAUGAUGGAGGGGGGCACCGCACACGGCUAAGGGAUCAAUAAUCAACUUGUGCNNNNNNNNNNNNNNNNNNNNNNNNNNNNNNNNNNNNNNNNNNNNNNNNNNNNNNNNNNNNNNNNNNNNNNNNNNNNNNNNNNNNNNNNNNNNNNNNNNNNNNNNNNNNNNNNNNNNNNNNNNNNNNNNNNNNNNNNNNNNNNNNNNNNNNNNNNNNNNNNNNNNNNNNNNNNNNNNNNNNNNNNNNNNNNNNNNNNNNNNNNNNNNNNNNNNNNNNNNNNNNNNNNNNNNNNNNNNNNNNNGAUUCCCCCUGAGGGAGUCCUGGAUUAGGUGGUGUCCGGAUAGCCGGACUAUACCUUCGGUCGGACUCCUGGACUAUGAAGAUACAAGAUUGAAGACUUCGUCCCGUGUCCGGAAGGGACUUUCCUUGGCGUGGAGGCAAGCUUGGCUAUACGGAUAUGUAGAUCUCCUACCAUUGUAACCGACUCUGUGUAACCCUAGCCCUCUCCGGUGUCUAUAUAAACCGGAGGGUUUUAGUCCGUAGGACAAACAACAAUCAUACCAUAGGCUAUCUUCUAGGGUUUAGCCUCUCUGAUCUCGUGGUAGAUCUACUCUUGUAUUACCCAUAUCAUCAAUAUUAAUCAAGCAGGACAUAGGGUUUUUACCUCCAUCGAGAGGGCCCGAACCUGGGUAAAAACAUCGUGUCCCCGGUCUCCUGUUACCAUCCGCCUAGACGCACAGUUCGGGACCCCCUACCCGAGAUCCGCCGGUUUUGACACCGACAUUGGUGCUUUCAUUGAGAGUUCCUCUGUGUCGUCACUUUUAGGCCCGAUGGCUCCUCCGAUCAUCAACGACAAUGCGAUCCAGGGUGAGACUUUUCUCCCCGGACAGAUCUUCGUAUUUGGCGGCUUUUCUCUGCGGGCCAAUUCGCUUGGCCAUCUGGAGCAGAUCGAAAGCUACGCCCCUGGCCAUCAGGUCAGAUUUGGAAGUUUAAACUACACAGCGGACGACCGCGGAGACUUGAUCUUCGAUGGAUCUGAGCCGCAGCCGAGCGCGCCGCACUGUCACGAUGGGCAUGAUCUAGCUCUGCUGCCGAACAGUGCCCUGGAGGCUGCACCUGUGUCCGCUCCGACCCUUGGCUCGGAGCCGACCACACCAAUCGAGGAUGGGUGGUUAGACACCGCCUCGGGGGCUGCAAUCUCUAAGGCGAUCAAGCCGAACACCAGCCUUGUCCUCCACGAAGCCCGUGACUCCAAGAUGCCGGACUCCGAGCCCUCCGCACCCCUACUGACCGAAUCCGAUUGGGUGCCGAUCAUGGAGUUCACCGCCACAGACAUCUUUCAGCACUCGCCCUUCGGUGACAUUCUGAAUUCACUCAGGUCUCUCUCUUUGUCAGGAGAGUCCUGGCCGGACUAUGACCGGCAGGAUUGGGAUGUGGACGACGAAGAAAUUCGAUGCCCACCCACCACCCACUUCGUAGCCACUGUCGAUAAUUUAAACGACGUGCUCGACUUCGACUCCGAAGACAUCGACGGUAUGGACGACGAUGUAGGAGAUGAACAUGAACCAACGCUCGUGCUAAAUUAUCCUCAUGCUUAUAGUCAAAAUAAAGCUUUUACUAAACAUAUCGUUGAUGCUUUGAUGCAAUCUUAUGAAGAAAAACUUGAGUUGGAAGUUUCUAUCCCUAGAAAAAUUUAUGAUGAAUGGGAACAUACAAUUAAAAUUAAAAUUAAAGAUCAUGAAUGCUAUGCUUUGUGUGAUUUGGGUGCUAGUGUUCCCAUGAUUCCAAAAACUUUGUGUGAUUUGCUAGGUUUCCGUGAAUUUGAUAAUUGUUCUCUAAAGGCACUAGACAGCCACCUCAUCUCAUGAUGUAUACAUGGUGAACACACCCAAAGGAAGCGACGACGAGGAACACAGGGAUGCAACGAGGGAUCGUUCACUCGAAAAGCAAUCAAAGCGGCGACGUAAGUGCCGCUCCAAGCCCCGCCUCGACAGAGACAGCAGCCAUACAGACCCAACCAUAGAGCAGGACGAGCCGGCGGACGACGAGCAUGCCUUCGAGCAACCGUCCGAACAGGGCAACUUGGAUAAACAAACCGAACACCCCGUCCCCGGCGAAAACAACAGUCCGGACGACCUUACACCGGAUAGGCUCAUGGAGCAGAAGAACCUCCACAAAUGGCUCGUCGCCACUGCGCGUAGCCUGAAAAAGCAGAAGCGGAAGCUCAAAACUGCGGAAGAUGCACUCAGAAUCAGAUGGAGCAAAGUACGCAACACCGCAGACAAAUAUGGCGGCAGUCAUCGCACAAAAAGCUAUCCAAAGCGAAAGCUACUACCUGAAUUUGACGAGGAGGCCUUAGAGCCCCCGCAGUCAAAAAAUAGGAAAGCCACCCGGUCGGAUAAACGACCGCAUGGCCAGCAUGGAGCGGCAAGCGGCGCCACACACAAGCCGGCACGCGAUCCACCAAAGGAUCUGCAUCAAAAGAUUGCCCAGCCAGAUCUAUCUAUGGGCCAAGAAAGCAAACUCUAGUAAGCAAUGCAACACAACAAAUAUCCGAACAUCACGGCACACCCAAAUACAGGGGUGCCGCACACCCCCUAUGUUUCACCGAUGAGGUGCCGGACCAUGAAUUUCCAGCGGGAUUCAAGCCCGUAAACAUAGAGGCGUACGACAGAACAAUAGACCCUGGGGUCUGGAUCGAGGAUUAUAUCCUCCACAUACACAUGGCCAGAGGAGAUGACCUCCACGCCAUAAAAUACUUACCCCUCAAGCUUAAAGGGCCAGCCCGGCAUUGGCUCAAAAGCCUUCCCGAAAACACCAUUGGAAGUUGGGAAGAGCUUGAGGAUGCUUUCCGGGAAAAUUUUCAAGGGACCUAUGUCCGCCCUCUGGAUGCAGACGACCUCAGUCACAUAACUCAACAGCCCAGAGAGUCAGCCCGGAAAUUCUGGAACAAAUUUCUUACUAAAAAGAAUCAGAUAGUCGACUGUCCGGACGCCGAAGCCCUAGCAGCUUUUAAGCAUAACAUUCGAGACGAAUGGCUCGCCAGACACCUCGGCCAAGAAAAGCCAAGAACAAUGGCCGCAUUAACAAGCCUCAUGACCCGCUUUUGCGCAGGAGAGGACAUCUGGUUGGCAAGAUGUAGCACCAACGACCCAAGUACAUCCGAAGUUAGGGAUGGAAACGGAAAACCCCGACACAGCAAGGACCAGUGCCGGAAUAAGGGAAACAACCCAAAGAGCACGGCGGUCAACGCUAGAUUCAAAAGCUCGCGGCAGAAUCAGAGAAAGCCGCCCCUCAAGGAUAACAGGGACGAGCUAUCCAACUUAAACAAAAUCUUGGACAAGAUAUGUCAAAUACACAGUACUCUCGGGAAGCCUGCGAACCAUACCCAUAGAGAUUAUUGGGUUUUCAAGCAAUCCGGCAAACUCAACGCCGAACACAAGGGGCUCGACACACCAAGUGAGGACGACGAUGAACCCCACAAGCAGAGCACCAGGAAACAAAAGGAUUUCCCACAAGAAGUCAAAACAGUAAACUUACUUCACGCGACGAACAGAAUGGCGCCAACAAAGAUACGCGCCAUACGGCCUAUCCCAAAGGAGUCUCGCCAAUGGUUGUUAAAAUCGAUCACCUUCGACCAUCAUGAUUACUCUAGAAGUAUCCGGAAAGCAGGCUGGACUGCCUUGGUAUUAGAUCCAAUAAUCGGCGGACUCCACUUUACAAAUGUCCUGAUGGACGGCGGCAGUGGUCUAAACCUGUUAUACCAGGACACAAUCCGCAACAUGGGGAUAGACCCAACAAAAAUUCGCCAUAGAAAAACCUCCUUUCAAGGGGUAACACCAGGCCCGGAUGCCCGUUGCAUGGGUUCUCUCCGGCUAGAAGUUAUGUUCGGCUCCCCCGAUAACUUCCGUCACAAACAACUAAUUUUCCACAUCGCCCCAUUCUCAAGUAGCUAUCAAGCACUGUUGGUACGCGAAGCUUUCGCCCGCUUUAACGCAAUACCGCAUUAUGCAUCUCUUACGCUUAAAAUGCCCGGUCCACGAGGCAUCAUCUCAUUAAAGGGAAAACACUGAGUGUUCCUCCCGCGCGUAAGACAGUGCGGCUGCCUUGACAGCCCCACAACAAAGCGGCUUCACCAGCCAAAGCACCUAAACAGGUCGUCAAGACCACGGACAUGGCUAGACGAGUCCGGCAUAAACAUACAAUUGAUAAAGGCUUAAUAGCCGUAUACCCCUGUACUAGGGGCUCCACGCAUAUAAAACAAGAGACAAUAAAGCUCAAUUUUACCCAUUUCGAUUUAUACUUUGUUUAUUUAGUAUAACUCAUGUUCGGCAUGAUCUUUCUGUUGGAAAUAUGCCCUAGAGGCAAUAAUAAAAUGGUUAUUAUUAUAUUUCUUUGUUCAUGAUAAUUGUCUAUUGUUCAUGCUAUAAUUGUGUUAUCCGGAAAUCGUAAUACAUGUGUGAAUACAUAGACCACAACACGUCCCUAGUGAGCCUCUAGUUGACUAGCUCGUUGAUCAAAAGAUAGUCAUGGUUUCCUGACUAUGGACAUUGGAUGUCAUUGAUAACGGGAUCACAUCAUUAGGAGAAUGAUGUGAUGGACAAGACCCAAUCCUAAGCAUAGCUCAAAGAUCAUGUAGUUCGUUUGCUGUAGCUUUUCUGAAUGUCAAGUGUCAUUUCCUUAGACCAUGAGAUUGUGCAACUCCCGGAUACCGUAGGAGUGCCUUGGGUGUGCCAAACGUCACAACGUAACUGGGUGACUAUAAAGGUACAUUACAGGUAUCUCCGAAAGUGUCUGUUGGGUUGGCAUGAAUCGAGACUGGGAUUUGUCACUCUGUAUGACGAAGAGGUAUCUCUGGGCCCACUCGGUAAUGCAUCAUCAUAAUGAGCUCAAUGUGAUCAAGUGGUUGAUCACGGGAUCAUGCAUUAUGGUUCGAGUAAAGUGACUUGCCGGUAACGAGACUGAACAAGGUAUUGGGAUACCGACGAUCGAGUCUCGGGCAAGUAACGUACCGAUUGACAAAGGGAAUUGUAUACGGAUUGAUUGAAUCCUUGACAUCGUGGUUCAUCCGAGAUCAUCAAGGAGCAUGUGGGAGCCGACAUGGGUAUCCAGAUCCCGCUGUUGGUUAUUGACCGGAGAGUUGUCUCGGUCAUGUCUGCAUGUCUCCCGAACCCGUAGGGUCUACACACUUAAGGUUCGGUGACGCUAGGGUUGUUAGGAAGACUUGUAUGUGAUCACCGAAUGUUGUUCGGAGUCCCGGAUGAGAUCCCAGACGUCACGAGGAGUUCCGGAAUGGUCCGGAGGUGAAGAUUUGUAGGUAGGAAGUUGUCAUACGGUCACCGGAAAGGUUCGGGGGCAUAUCGGUAUUGUACCGGGGCCACCGGAGGGGUUCCGAGGGUCCAUCGCUCUUGGAGGGCCUAAUGGGCUGUAGAGGAAAGGGAACCAGCCCUACAUGGGCUGGCCGCAUCCCCCCUUGGGCCCAUGCGCCUAGGGUUGGGGGGGAAACCCUAAAGGGGGCACCCCCUUGCUUGGGGGGUGGGGGAGGGGCAAGCCCCCUCCCCUUGGCCGCCGCCCCCCCCCCCUUUGGAUCUCAUCUAGAGGGGGCCGGCCCCUUCCUCCUUCCCCUAUAAAUAGAGGGGCAAGGGGAGGGCUGCACAGAACAUCCAAGGCGCAGGCCCUCCCCUCCCCAACACCUCUCCUCCUCCGUAAGAGGUUGGCGAAGCCCUGCCGGAGUACUGCAGCUUCACCACCACCACGCCGUCGUGCUGCUGUUGGAGCCCUCUUCCCCAACCUCUCCCUCCUCCUUGCUGGAUCAAGGCGCGGGAGAUGUCCUCGCUCCGUACGUGUGUUGAACACGGAGGUGCCGUCCGUUCGGCGCUAGGAUCUUCGGUGAUUUGGAUCACGAUGAGUACGACUCCAUCAACCCCGUUCUCUUGAACGCUUCCGCUCGCGAUCUACAAGGGUAUGUAGAUGCACUCCUCUCUCCCUCGUUGCUAGAUGACUCCAUAGAUUGAUCUUGGUGAUGGGUAGAAAAUUUUAAAAUUCUGCUACGUUCCCCAACAGUGGCAUCAUGAGCUAGGUCUAUGCGUAGUUACUAUGCACGAGUAGAACACAAAGCAGUUGUGGGCGUCGAUAUUGUCAAUUAUCUUGCCGUUACUAGUCUUAUCUUGAUUCGGCGGCAUUGUGGGAUGAAGCGGCCCGGACAAACCUUACACGUAUGCUUACGUGAGACCGGUUCCACCGACUAACAUGCACUAGUUGCAUAAGGUGGCUGGCGGGUGUCUGUCUCUCCCACUUUAGUCGGAUCGGAUUCGAUGAACAGGGUCCUUAUGAAGGGUAAAUAGAAAUUGGCAAUUCAUGUUGUGGUUUUGGCGUAGGUAAGAAACGUUCUUGCUAGAAACCUAUAGCUGCCACGUAAAAACUUGCAACAACAAUUAGAGGACGUCUAACUUGUUUUUGCAGCAAGUGUUUUGUGAUGUGAUAUGGCCAAAGGAUGUGAUGAAUGAUAUAUGUGAUGUAUGAGAUGAUCAUGUUCUUGUAAUAGGAAUCACGACUUGCAUGUCAAUGAGUAUGACAACCGGCAGGAGCCAUAGGAGUUGUCUUUAUUUAUUUAUGACCUGCAUGUCAACAUAAACGUCAUGUAAUUACUUUACUUUAUUGCUAAAGCGUUAGCCAUAGUAGUAGAAGUAAUAGAUGACGAGACAACUUCAAGAAGACACGAUGAUGGAGAUCAUGGUGUCAUGUCGGUGACAACGAUGAUCAUGGAGCCCUGAAGAUGGAGAUCAAAAGGAGCAAAUGAUAUUGGCCAUAUCAUGUCACUAUUUGAUUGCAUGUGAUGUUUAUCAUGUUUUGCAUCUUAUUUGCUUAGAACGAUGGUAGCUUAAAUAAGAUGAUCCCUCGAAAUAAUUUCAAGAAAGUGUUCCCCCUAACUGUGCAUCGUUGCGAAGGUUAGUUGUUUCGAAGCACCACGUGAUGAUCGGGUGUGAUAGAUUCUAACGUUCGAAUACAACGGGUGUAAGCCAGAUUUACACACGUAAUACACUUAGGUUGACUUGACGAGCCUAGCAUGUACAGACAUGGCCUUGGAACACAGAAGACCGAAAGGUCGAGCAUGAGUCGUAUAGAAGAUACGAUCAACAUGAAGAUGUUCACCGAUGUUGACUAGUUCGUCUCACGUGAUGAUUGGACACGACCUAGUUAACUCGGAUCAUGUUAUACUUAGAUGACUGGAGGGAUGCCUAUCUGAGUGGGAGUUCAUUGAAUAAUUUGAUUAUAUGAACUUAAUUAUCAUGAACUUAGUCUAAAAUCUUUACAAUAUGUCUUGUAGAUCAAAUGGCCCACGUUGUCCUCAACUUCAACGCGUUCCUAGAGAAAACCAAGCUGAAAGACGAUGGCAGCAACUAUACGGACUGGGUCCGGAACCUGAGGAUCAUCCUCAUAGCUGCCAAGAAAGAUUAUGUCCUAGAAGCACCGCUAGGUGACGCACCUGUCCCAGAGAACCAAGACGUUAUGAACGCUUGGCAGUCACGUGCUAAUGAUUACUCCCUCGUUCAGUGCGGCAUGCUUUACAACUUAGAACCGGGGCUCCAAAAGCGUUUUGAGAGACACGGAGCAUAUGGGAUGUUCGAAGAGCUGAAAAUGGUUUUCCAAGCUCAUGCCCGGUUCGAGAGAUAUGAAGUCUCCGACAAGUUCUUCAGCUGUAAGAUGGAGGAAAAUAGUUCUGUCAGUGAGCACAUACUCAAAAUGUCCGGGUUGCAUAACCGCUUGACUCAGCUGGGAGUUAAUCUCCCGGAUGACGUGGUCAUUGACAGAAUCCUUCAGUCGCUUCCACCGAGCUACAAGAGCUUUGUGAUGAACUUCAAUAUGCAGGGGAUGGAAAAGACCAUUCCUGAGGUGUAUUCAAUGCUGAAAUCAACAGAGGUGGAAAUCAAAAAGGAACAUCAAGUGUUGAUGGUGAAUAAAACCACUAAGUUCAAGAAAGGCAAGGGUAAGAAGAACUUCAAGAAGGACGGCAAGGGAGUUGCCGCGUCCGGUAAGCAAGCCGCCGGGAAGAAGCCAAAGAAUGGACCCAAGCCUGAGACUGAGUGUUUUUAUUGCAAGGGAAGUGGUCACUGGAAGCGGAACUGCCCCAAAUACUUAGCGGAUAAGAAGGCCGGCGACACUAAAGGUAUAUGUGAUAUACAUGUAAUUGAUGUGUACCUUACCAGUACUCGUAGUAGCUCCUGGGUAUUUGAUACCGGUGCGGUUGCUCACAUUUGUAACUCAAAGCAGGAGCUGCAGAAUAAGCGGAGACUGGCGAAGGACGAGGUGACGAUGCGCGUCGGGAAUGGUUCCAAGGUCGAUGUGAUCGCCGUCGACAUGCUGCCUCUACAUUUACCUAUGGGAUUAGUUUUAAACCUCAAUAAUUGUUAUUUAGUGCCAUCUUUGAGCAUGAACAUUGUAUCAGGAUCUUGUUUAAUUCGAGAUGGCUACUCAUUUAAAUCUGAGAAUAAUGGUUGUUCUAUUUAUAUGAGAGAUAUGUUUUAUGGUCAUGCUCCGAUGGUGAAUGGUUUAUUCUUAAUGAAUCUCGAGCGUAAUGUUACACACAUUCAUAGUGUGAAUACCAAAAGGUGUAAGGUUGAUAAUGAUAGUCCCACAUACUUGUGGCACUGCCGCCUUGAUCACAUAGGUGUCAAACACAUGAAGAAGCUCCAUGUAGAUGGACUUUUAGAGUCUCUUGAUUACGAAUCAUUUGACACGUGUGAACCAUGCCUCAUGGGUAAAAUGACCAAGACUCCGUUCUCAGGAACAAUGGAGCGAGCCACCAACUUAUUGGAAAUCAUACAUACUGAUGUGUGCGGUCCAAUGAGUGUUGAGGCUCGCAGUGGCUAUCGUUAUGUUCUCACCCUCACUGAUGACUUGCGUAGAUAUGGGUAUGUCUACUUAAUGAAACACAAGUCUGAGACCUUCAAAAAGUUCAAGGAAUUUCAGAGUGAGGUUGAGAAUCAACGUGACAGGAAAAUCAAGUUCUUGCGAUCAGAUCGUGGGGGAGAAUACUUGAGUCACGAAUUUGGCACACACUUAAGAAAAUGUGGAAUAGUUUCACAACUCACGCCGCCUGGAACACCUCAGCGUGAUGGUGUGUCCAAACGUCGUAAUCGCACUCUAUUGGAUAUGGUGCGAUCUAUGAUGUCUCUUACCGAUUUACCGCUGUCAUUUUGGGGCUAUGCUUUACAGACUGCCGCAUUCACUUUAAAUAGGGCUCCGUCAAAAUCCGUUGAGACGACACCGUAUGAAUUAUGGUUUGGGAAGAAACCUAAGCUGUCGUUUCUAAAAGUUUGGGGAUGCAAUGCUUAUGUCAAGAAACUUCAACCUGAAAAGUCGAACCCAAGUCGGAAAAAUGCGUCUUCAUAGGAUACCCUAAAGAAACUGUUGGGUAUACCUUCUACCUCAGAUCUGAAGGCAAGAUCUUUGUUGCCAAGAAUGAGUCCUUUCUAGAGAAAGAGUUUCUCUUGAAAGAAAUGAGUGGGAGGAAAGUAGAACUUGAUGAAGUAUUACCUCUUGAACCGGUAAGUGGCGCAGCUCAAGAAAAUGUUCCUGAGGUGCCUACACCGACUAGAGAGGAAGUUAAUGAUGAUGAUCAUGAAACUUCAGAUCAAGUUACUACUGAACUUCGUAGGUCCACGAGGACACGUUCCGCACCAGAGUGGUACGACAACCCUGUCUUGGAAAUCAUGUUGUUAGACAACGGUGAACCUUCGAACUAUGAAGAAGCGAUGGCGGGCCCAGAUUCCGACAAAUGGCUGGAAGCCAUGAAAUCCGAGAUAGGAUCCAUGUAUGAAAACGAAGUGUGGACUUUGACUGACUUGCCCGAUGAUCGGCGAGCCAUAGAAAAUAAAUGGAUCUUUAAGAAGAAGACAGACGCGGAUGGUAAUGUGACCAUCUAUAAAGCU
rnacentral:lncRNA from 1 species